rnacentral:piRNA from 1 species
UAGCCAGAAGUAUUCAACUGUACCCCACAC